rnacentral:rRNA from 1 species
AACACAUGCAAGUCGAGGGGAAACGAUAUUGGAAGCUUGCUUCCGAUAGGCGUCGACCGGCGCACGGGUGAGUAACGCGUAUCCAACCUGCCCACCACUUGGGGAUAACCUUGCGAAAGUAAGACUAAUACCCAAUGAUAUCUCUAGAAGACAUCUGAAAGAGAUUAAAGAUUUAUCGGUGAUGGAUGGGGAUGCGUCUGAUUAGCUUGUUGGCGGGGUAACGGCCCACCAAGGCAACGAUCAGUAGGGGUUCUGAGAGGAAGGUCCCCCACAUUGGAACUGAGACACGGUCCAAACUCCUACGGGAGGCAGCAGUGAGGAAUAUUGGUCAAUGGACGAGAGUCUGAACCAGCCAAGUAGCGCGCAGGAAGACGGCCCUAUGGGUUGUAAACUGCUUUUAUAAGGGAAUAAAGUGAGAGUCGUGACUCUUUUUGCAUGUACCUUAUGAAUAAGGACCGGCUAAUUCCGUGCCAGCAGCCGCGGUAAUACGGAAGGUCCGGGCGUUAUCCGGAUUUAUUGGGUUUAAAGGGAGCGUAGGCCGGAGAUUAAGCGUGUUGUGAAAUGUAGACGCUCAACGUCUGCACUGCAGCGCGAACUGGUUUCCUUGAGUACGCACAAAGUGGGCGGAAUUCGUGGUGUAGCGGUGAAAUGCUUAGAUAU